UGCGAUACUUGGUGUGAAUUGCAGAAUUCACGCUGAAUCAUUCGUAUCUUUGAACGCACAUUGCGCCCAUUAGUAUUCUAGUGGGCAUGCCUGUUCGAGCGUCAUUUCAACCCCUAAGCACAGCUUAUUGUUGGGCGUCUACGUCUGUAGUGCCUCAAAGACAUUGGCGGAGCGGCAGCAGUCCUCUGAGCGUAGUAAUUCUUUAUCUCGCUUCUGUUAGGCGCUGCCCCCCCGGCCGUAAAACCCCCAAUUUUUUCUGGUUGACCUCGGAUCAGGUAGGUAUACGUCUCGCUGAACUUAAGCAUAUCAAUAAGCGGAGGAA
rnacentral:rRNA from 1 species